AGUAAUGCAUAGGAAUCUGCCCGGUAGUGGGGGAUAACUUGAGGAAACUCAAGCUAAUACCGCAUACGCCCUACGGGGGAAAGCAGGGGCUCUUCGGACCUUGCGCUAUCGGAUGAGCUUAUGUCGGAUUAGCUGGUUGGUGAGGUAAUGGCUCACCAAGGCGACGAUCCGUAGCUGGUCUGAGAGGAUGAUCAGCCACAUCGGGACUGAGACACGGCCCGAACUCCUACGGGAGGCAGCAGUGGGGAAUAUUGGACAAUGGGCGAAAGCCUGAUCCAGCCAUGCCGCGUGUGUGAAGAAGGCCCUCGGGUUGUAAAGCACUUUCAGUGAGGAAGAAGGCUUGUCGGUUAAUACCCGACAGGAA
rnacentral:rRNA from 1 species